CUCAAGGAAGCGCUUUGUCUACAUGGACACAAAGCAUGCCCUCAAGGACACGUUUUUUUGUCCACGUGGACAAAGCGCUUCCUUGAAG
rfam:Gossypium hirsutum cultivar TM-1 chromosome 9, whole genome shotgun sequence